GUGGCGACGGGUGAGUAACACGUGGGCAAUCUGCCCUUCACUCUGGGACAAGCCCUGGAAACGGGGUCUAAUACCGGAUAACACUCUGUCCCGCAUGGGACGGGGUUAAAAGCUCCGGCGGUGAAGGAUGAGCCCGCGGCCUAUCAGCUUGUUGGUGGGGUAAUGGCCUACCAAGGCGACGACGGGUAGCCGGCCUGAGAGGGCGACCGGCCACACUGGGACUGAGACACGGCCCAGACUCCUACGGGAGGCAGCAGUGGGGAAUAUUGCACAAUGGGCGAAAGCCUGAUGCAGCGACGCCGCGUGAGGGAUGACGGCCUUCGGGUUGUAAACCUCUUUCAGCAGGGAAGAAGCGAAAGUGACGGUACCUGCAGAAGAAGCGCCGGCUAACUACGUGCCAGCAGCCGCGGUAAUACGUAGGGCGCAAGCGUUGUCCGGAAUUAUUGGGCGUAAAGAGCUCGUAGGCGGCUUGUCACGUCGGAUGUGAAAGCCCGGGGCUUAACCCCGGGUCUGCAUUCGAUACGGGCUAGCUAGAGUGUGGUAGGGGAGAUCGGAAUUCCUGGUGUAGCGGUGAAAUGCGCAGAUAUCAGGAGGAACACCGGUGGCGAAGGCGGAUCUCUGGGCCAUUACUGACGCUGAGGAGCGAAAGCGUGGGGGAGCGAACAGGAUUAGAUACCCUGGUAGUCCACGCCGUAAACGUUGGGAACUAGGUGUUGGCGACAUUCCACGUCGUCGGUGCCGCAGCUAACGCAUUAAGUUCCCCGCCUGGGGAGUACGGCCGCAAGGCUAA
rnacentral:rRNA from 1 species